GAUGAACGCUGGCGGCGUGCCUAAUACAUGCAAGUCGAACGAGGUGCUUGAGUAGCAAUACAAGAGUAUCCUAGUGGCGAACGGGUGAGUAACGCGUUGGUGACCUACCCCAAAGUGUGGGAUAACAGUUCGAAAGAACUGCUAAUACCGCAUGUGGUUAUUGGAUUUAGAAACUGAUAACUAAAGGAGCAAUUCGCUUUGGGAGGGACCUGCGUCCCAUCAGCUAGUUGGUGAGGUAAUGGCUCACCAAGGCUACGACGGGUAGGGGACCUGAGAGGGUGACCCCCCCACAAUGGAACUGAAACACGGUCCAUACACCUACGGGUGGCAGCAGUAGGGAAUAUUGCACAAUGGGCGAAAGCCUGAUGCAGCAACGCCGCGUGUGCGAUGAAGGCCUUCGGGUCGUAAAGCACUUUUCUGGGAGAUGAGCAAGGACAGUAUCUCAGGAAUAAGUCUCGGCUAACUACGUGCCAGCAGCCGCGGUAAU
rnacentral:rRNA from 1 species